rnacentral:misc_RNA from 1 species
UGAUUAUGGUAUGGAACCC